rnacentral:rRNA from 1 species
GACGAACGCUGGCGGCGUGCUUAACACAUGCAAGUCGAACGGAAAGGCCCUGCUUUUGUGGGGUGCUCGAGUGGCGAACGGGUGAGUAACACGUGAGUAACCUGCCCUUGACUUUGGGAUAACUUCAGGAAACUGGGGCUAAUACCGGAUAGGAGCUCCUGCUGCAUGGUGGGGGUUGGAAAGUUUCGGCGGUUGGGGAUGGACUCGCGGCUUAUCAGCUUGUUGGUGGGGUAGUGGCUUACCAAGGCUUUGACGGGUAGCCGGCCUGAGAGGGUGACCGGCCACAUUGGGACUGAGAUACGGCACAGACUCCUACGGGAGGCAGCAGUGGAGAAUAUUGCACAAUGGGCGGAAGCAUGAUGCAGCAACGCCGCGUGCGGGAUGACGGCCUUCGGGUUGUAAACCGCUUUCGCCUGUGACGAAGCGUGAGUGACGGUAAUGGGUAAAGAAGCACCGGCUAACUACGUG